UCGCCGAAAGGCGAAUUAAUACCGCAUAUGACAAGGGAAGACAUCUUUCCGAAGUCAAAGUCGCAAGACGCUUCCUGAUGAGCUCGCGGCCUAUCAGCUAGUUGGUGAGGUAACGGCUCACCAAGGCAAUGACGGGUAGCUGGUCUGAGAGGACGACCAGCCACACUGGAACUGAGACACGGUCCAGACACCUACGGGUGGCAGCAGUCGAGAAUUUUUCACAAUGGGGGAAACCCUGAUGGAGCGACGCCGCGUGGAGGAUGAAGGUCUUCGGAUUGUAAACUCCUGUCAUGCGAGAACAAGAAAGUGAUAGUAUCGCAAGAGGAAGAGACGGCUAACUCUGUGCCAGCAGCCGCGGUAAUACAGAGGUCUCAAGCGUUGUUCGGAUUCAUUGGGCGUAAAGGGUGCGUAUGUGGCGUGGAAAGUUGAGUGUGAAAUCCUAGGGCUUAACCUUAGAA
rnacentral:rRNA from 1 species